AUUGAACGCUGGCGGCAUGCUUUACACAUGCAAGUCGAACGGUAACAGGGAGCUUGCUCCGCUGGCGAGUGGCGGACGGUGCGUAAUGCAUAGGAAUCUGCCUAUUAGUGGGGAUAACGUGGGAAACUCACGCUAAUACCGCAUACGCUCUACGGAGGAAAGCUGGGGAUCUUCGGACCUGGCGCUAAUAGAUGAGCCUAUGUUGGAUUAGCUAGUUGGUAGGGUAAAGGCCUACCAAGGCGACGAUCCAUAGCUGGUCUGAGAGGAUGAUCAGCCACACUGGGACUGAGACACGGCCCAGACUCCUACGGGAGGCAGCAGUGGGGAAUAUUGGACAAUGGGCGAAAGCCUGAUCCAGCAAUACCGCGUGUGUGAAGAAGGCCUGAGGGUUGUAAAGCACUUUCAAUAGGAAGGAAUACCUGCCGGUUAAUACCCGGUAGACUGACAUUACCUAUACAAGAAGCACCGGCUAACUCCGUG
rnacentral:rRNA from 1 species